rnacentral:lncRNA from 1 species
UAGAAAAUAAAUUUUAUGAUUUUACGAUAUCAUUUGCCUAGUGAACGAAGGGGCUCAAAAUCAACGGCUGAAAAUAAAAAUCUUACAAAAUGUAAUAAUAUGACAUUGAAAUUUUAAAUCAAAGAUAUUGAUCUUGUUUUAUAUAGUAUAAAGAAUUUUCUAUCAAAAUUUCACGUGAUUUGAAUAUUUCUACACCGUUAAACUUGCAAACGACUCACUACGGCCAUUGAAAUUUGUUGAUUUUGAGCCCAUUUGAUCACUAGGCAAAUGAUAUCGAAAAAUAAUAAAAUUUAUUUUCUAGGUACUCCAAAUACUCUAAAUCAAGUUUAACGGAGCCGAUCGAUAAUUCGAAAGUCGCAACAUCGAAAACGAGCUGGAAGCACGGAAGGCUCCGUGCUUCCGAUAGCAUAGUAGUCUCACUCUAUAUAUAUAUAUAUAGUCCGACUGUUAUGAUAUUAAUAGCACCAAUUAAGCACCUGGUGCUACCAAGUUUUUUCGUCGUUAGAUUUACUCCUUUAAACCAUUUCCAUCCAUUAGAUCAUAUUAUUAAACCAACCAUCCACUCAACUCUAAAAGAUCACUAUCAUCCUAACUACACAUCUCUUAAUCUAAGGGCCAACCUAAUAACAGUAAUGACUUACUAUUAUUAAUAGCAUUAUAGCCGAAUUCUCUCUCUCUCUCUCUCUCUCUCUCUCUCUCUCUCUCUCUCUAUAUAUAUAUAUAUAUAUAU